CCUACGGGGGGCUGCAGUCGAGAAUCAUUCACAAUGGGGGAAACCCUGAUGCUGCGACGCCGCGUGGGGGAAUGAAGGUCUUCGGAUUGUAAACCCCUGUCAUGUGGGAGCAAAUUAAAAAGAUAGUACCACAAGAGGAAGAGACGGCUAACGCUGUGACAGCCGCCGCGGUAAUACAGAGGUCGCAAGCGUUGUUCGGAAUCACUGGGCGUAAUGCGUGCGUAGGCGGGUUCGUAAGUCGUGUGUGAAAGGCCCGGGCUCAACCCGCGGACGGCAGAUGAUACUGGGAGACUAGAGUAAGGGAGGGGGAAGCGGAAUUCUCGGUGUAGCAGUGAAAUGCGUAGAUAUCGAGAGGAACACUCGUGGCGAAGGCGGGUUCCUGGACAUUAACUGACGCUGAGGCACGAAGGCCAGGGGAGCGAAAGGGAUUAAAUACCCGGGUAGUC
rnacentral:rRNA from 1 species